rnacentral:rRNA from 1 species
GAUGAACGCUGGCGGUAUGCUUUACACAUGCAAGUCAUACGGAAGUUAGUUUCGGCUAACUUCAGUGGCGGACGGGUGAGUAACACGUGAGAAUUCGCCUUUAGGAGGGGGAUAACAGGGGGAAACACCUGCUAAAACCCCAUAUGCCUUCGGGUCAAAAGAGUAAUCUGCCUAAAGAGAAGCUCGCGGCUGAUUAGCUAGUUGGUAGGGUAAAGGCCUACCAAGGCGACGAUCAGUAGCUGGUCUGAGAGGACGAUCAGCCACACUGGAACUGAGACACGGUCCAGACUCCUACAGGAGGCAGCAGUGAGGAAUUUUCUGCAAUGGGCGAAAGCCUGACAGAGCAAUACCGCGUGAGGGAAGAAGGCUUACUGAGUUGUAAACCUCUGUUACCUAAGGAGGAAGAUCUGACGUUACUUAGGAGACGAAGCAUCGGCUAACUCCGUGCCAGCAGCCGCCGUAAGAC